rnacentral:rRNA from 1 species
UCCGUUGUAGCAAUACGAUGGAAAGUCUAGUGGCGAACGGGUGCUUAACACGUGGGCAACCUGCCAUGAAGUGGGGGAUAGCUCGCCGAAAGGCGAAUUAAUACCGCAUGUGAUUAGAGAGGACAUCCUUUCGAAAUUAAAGUCGGGGCAACCUGACGCUUCUUGUGGGGCCCGCGGCCUAUCAGCUAGUUGGUGAGGUAACGGCUCACCAAGGCUUUGACGGGUAGCUGGUCUGAGAGGACGACCAGCCACACUGGGACUGAGACACGGCCCAGACACCUACGGGUGGCAGCAGUCGAGAAUUUUUGACAAUGGGGGAAACCCUGAUCGAGCGACGCCGCGUGGAGGAUGAAGGUCUUCGGAUUGUAAACUCCUGUCAUUGGGGAACAAUGCACAGAUAUUAACUAUAUUUGUGUUGAUAGUACCCGAAGAGGAAGAGACGGCUAACUCUGUGCCAGCAGCCGCGGUAAUACAGAGGUCUCAAGCGUUGUUCGGAUUCAUUGGGCGUAAAGGGUGCGUAGGCGGCGCGGUAAGUCGGGUGUGAAAUCCCGGAGCUUAACUCCGAUACUGCAUUCGAUACUGCCGUGCUUGAGGACUGGAGAGGAGACUGGAAUUCACGGUGUAGCA